rnacentral:lncRNA from 1 species
CAUCAAAUGGCGACAUAGGUCGUUCCUGACUUCAGUUCUCCUCACAAGAAGACUAGCACUAUCCGUAGACAAGACAGCAUUGUGAUGAUUUUAGAACCUGGGAACGCGGCUGAAGCACCCUCCUGGACCACAGAUACUGAGGAGGACCACAAUAGAACUGUAAGAAGAGCGCCUACACUGACCGCACCUUCUGCCCUCGGGGCUGCACAAAAUCCACUGGAGACCUACGGUUUCUCCAGUGGGAAAAGAGACAAGGUGAACAUCGAGCUUCCCCAGUCUUGAGGGAUGCUUCCCAGGAGGGUCACUAGAGUCUCGCCUAAUGAGUAUCGCUGUGGGACUCUGUGGGGUUCUACCACCGGGAAUCAAAUGGAGACAGAGAAGGAGGCGGGGCUUACAACAGCCAGUACUCAGAACUCGGGGGACCGCGUGCCUGAUUGUAGUGGCGGCAGGCAGAGAUUCCAGCCAGUGGCUCUGCCCGUCCGCAGAGCCAAGUCAGUGACCCCAUCUGGCCAGGCUGCUCGGUUGGCAGUUCUGCCAGAUUUGGGUUCCCAUAAAAUGGGCUAUACUCGCCAGUGGAGCCUGGUCUACCACCCCGCCCAGGAAGGGAGGCAAAUUCGCAGCCCCGUCCAACUGUGGAGCAUAGGUUCCAGUGACGUCGAUUCCAGGAGCCUGGCCAGGGAACUAGGGCAGCCCUGGAGCCCAUUCUGCAGCCCCGCUUGGGCAGGGAGCCAAGCCAGCAGCCCUGCCCCAACUGUUGAGCAUAGUUUCUGGCCUCGCAUAACCAGGGAGCCUGAACAGUAACCCUGGGCAAACUCAGAGCCCAGCCCAGGGCACCACAGAGCUGGGGAGCCCAGCCUACAGCCCUGACCAGCAGCAGAGCAGCUUACCGCCUGCUGGAUUGCUGAAUAGUCUGAGGCCUCACCAGGCAGGGAGGCCAGCCAGUGACCUUGCCCAAUCGUGGAGCUUAGCCUGUGGCUAAACCCAAAAAAGGAGCCUGGACAGCGACCCCACGAGACCAUAGGGCACAGUCUCCAGCCCAACUUCCAGAUACAGCUGGAGGCUCCUCUGGACUGGUGAGCCAGGCCAGAGAACUUGCCCAGCAGCAGAGCACAGGCAGGGGUCUAUAGGACCUUGAACCCCCACCUACAGCUCAGUCCAACUCCUGGGUAUAGCCUGUAGCCCCACCUGAUUGCACAGCACAGCCUGAGGCCCUGCCUGUGGCCCCACAUGAAUCUGGAGUUCAGCCUGCAGCACCAUUUGGUCGGGGAACACAGCCUGAGAACCCACCCGGCCAGCAGUGAUUGUGGAGCCCAGCUCAUAGCCCUGCCCAAUCACGGAGUCCAACCAGUGGUACCCUCCUGCCAGGGAACACAGCCUGUGACCUGGUCCAACCAGAGGAAGAAGUCUACAUUGGUACGUACUGGAAGAUGAAGUGAGUUUGAAAACACAAGCAGAGGGAGCACCUCCUAAUCAUUCUAUGAGGCCAUAAUUACCAUAAUAUCCAAAAAAGAUAACGCAUUACAAGAAAACUACAGACCAACAUCUCUUAUGAAGGAGAAGAAGCAUGUGGAUUCUCAGAAAAAUGUUUCUACUGAUCUUCAUACCCAAAUUUGAAGGUAAUCAUAGAGAAAUCUCUAGGAAGAAUAAAGUACCAUAAAACCCAAAGUCUCAGAUACAUCCUCUGAUAUCUCAAGCUUGAGUUCUAACCUCUGCAACAUGAGAAUUGAUGAGUGUCUUCGGAGUAAAGCCGAUGUUUACAUAAAAAUUCAUUUGGCUGAGGAUGCUUCACUUCCUUCAAAGGUCUAUGGAGAUGCUUUGUAAUAGGAGAAAAAUUUAAAAAUGAAGAGAAGACCAAAGAAUGAAAAAAACUUAUUCAACACCAUGUAUUUUUUUUUAAAGCUACUUUGAUUCUAGAUCUCUGUUUAUGCCAUGUGAAAAAGCCCAAGCUAUCCUGCUGUAUGCUAAAGACACAUUACCCUGACAACCCUGUUGUACAGCCUAUAGCCAAUAACUGCAAUGUGAUUGAGGCCUUCUUAGAGCACCAGUUCCCAGCCAACACACCAGCUGCCUGCAGAUGCAUGAAUGAACCCAGCCAAGAUCAGCUGAGUCUGGCUCAGUUGAGCAGAAGCACCUCACUGGCCAUAGACUUAUUCGCAAUAAUAAAUGCUCUUUGUUUUAAAUCGCUGAGUUUUGGAACAAUAGCUAAUGGGCAUACCCCAUUCAACAAAUAAUUAAUUUCCCUCAGUUUUUGUUAAUUAUUUAAUUAGUUUUUAUAUAUAGUGUUAAUAGUUUUCCCAUUAGGUGUUAGAAUGAACCCUUAAUUAUAAGAAUGCAAAAUACCUCCAUUUCUCCAAGAUUAUUUAUAUUCUGUUAGAAGAUAAACAAUGGAAAUGUUUACUAGUAUUUUGUAAUAUUUUAUGACUACUUCAAGUGUUUUGCAAACCCUUCUCUUUUAAAUUGAUUAUGAGGUGUAGUUUAUUAUCACGUAAUCAUCGUGCUAAGUAACUUGGCAUAUUUGAAUAUCUCAGAUUGUUUGAACUUUGUCUUUAUUAGUGGAUUUCUGUGAUAUGUUUGUUAACUUAUGUAUAGUGAAUUAAAUUUCUGUCGUUUAUAUUUUUAGUUCUUUUCAAAUUGCUCAUAAUGUUAGCUGAAAAGAGUAUAAUUUAGAAUAGAAUUAUAUAGUUUGGUCUGAUAGCUAGGUAGGCAGAAUAAAUAGACGGACAGAUAGAUAGAUAGAUAGAUAGAUAGAUAGAUAGAUGGACAGAUAGCUGGGAAAGCACAUAGAUGCAUGCAAACUGCUUAGCACAAUGCCUGGCAUGUCAUUUACCCUCAAUAAAUAUUAAUUCGGUAUUGUUUUAUAAAGUUUGUUAUUAAUAAUUACUAUAUGCACCAUGGGGAAGUAUUCAUCUUAAAAAUAAAACAAUUAUUGGGCAGUUGCAUCAUUAAACAGAGUAUUUUGAAAAUGUCCUAUGAUGUUCCUUACUAUGAUUUAUUUUGUUUUCCUGAACAACUCACAUUGUUCGUAAAAG